AUUGAACGCUGGCGGAAUGCUUUACACAUGCAAGUCGAACGGCAGCACGGACUUCGGUCUGGUGGCGAGUGGCGAACGGGUGAGUAAUACAUCGGAACGUGCCCAGUCGUGGGGGAUAACGUAGCGAAAGCUACGCUAAUACCGCAUACGAUCUAAGGAUGAAAGCGGGGGAUCGCAAGACCUCGCGCGAUUGGAGCGGCCGAUGGCAGAUUAGGUAGUUGGUAGGGUAAAGGCCUACCAAGCCGACGAUCUGUAGCUGGUCUGAGAGGACGACCAGCCACACUGGGACUGAGACACGGCCCAGACUCCUACGGGAGGCAGCAGUGGGGAAUUUUGGACAAUGGACGCAAGUCUGAUCCAGCCAUUCCGCGUGCAGGAUGAAGGCCCUCGGGUUGUAAACUGCUUUUGUACAGAACGAAAAGGCUCUGGUUAAUACCUGGAGCUCAUGACGGUACUGUAAGAAUAAGCACCGGCUAACUACGUGCCAGCAGCCGCCGCGG
rnacentral:rRNA from 1 species